ACGGGUGCGUAACACGUGAGUUACAUGCCCUGUAGUGGGGAAUAGCCCGCCGAAAGGCGGAUUAAUACCCCAUGGUCCCGCAAGGGUAAAGGUGGCGAAAGCUGCCGCUACAGGAUUGGCUCGCGGCCUAUCAGCUAGUUGGCGAGGUAACGGCUCACCAAGGCGACGACGGGUACCUGGUCUGAGAGGAUGAUCAGGCACACUGGAACUGAGACACGGUCCAGACACCUACGGGUGGCAGCAGUCGAGAAUAAUUCACAAUGGGGGAAACCCUGAUGGUGCAACGCCGCGUGGAGGAUGAAGGUCUUCGGAUUGUAAACUCCUGUCAUCUGGGAGUAAGACCUGGCGGUGAAUAGCCGACAGGGUUGAUAGUACCAGAAGAGGAAGGGACGGCUAACUUCGUGCCAGCAGCCGCGGUAAUACGAAGGUCCCAAGCGUUGUUCGGAAUCACUGGGCGUAAAGGGAGCGUAGGCUGCGUGGUAAGUCAGAUGUGAAAUCCCGGGGCUCAACCCCGGAACUGCAUCCGAUACUGCCACGCUUGAGGGUUGGAGAGGUAGCUGGAAUUAUCGGUGUAGCAGU
rnacentral:rRNA from 1 species